rnacentral:rRNA from 1 species
AAAUUGAAGAGUUUGAUCAUGGCUCAGAUUGAACGCUGGCGGCAGGCCUAACACAUGCAAGUCGAACGGUAACAGGAAGCAGCUUGCUGCUUCGCUGACGAGUGGCGGACGGGUGAGUAAUGUCUGGGAAACUGCCUGAUGGAGGGGGAUAACUACUGGAAACGGUGGCUAAUACCGCAUAACGUCGCAAGACCAAAGAGGGGGACCUUCGGGCCUCUUGCCAUCAGAUGUGCCCAGAUGGGAUUAGCUUGUUGGUGAGGUAACGGCUCACCAAGGCGACGAUCCCUAGCUGGUCUGAGAGGAUGACCAGCCACACUGGAACUGAGACACGGUCCAGACUCCUACGGGAGGCAGCAGUGGGGAAUAUUGCACAAUGGGCGCAAGCCUGAUGCAGCCAUGCCGCGUGUAUGAAGAAGGCCUUCGGGUUGUAAAGUACUUUCAGCGGGGAGGAAGGUGUUGCGGUUAAUAACCGCAGCAAUUGACGUUACCCGCAGAAGAAGCACCGGCUAACUCCGUGCCAGCAGCCGCGGUAAUACGGAGGGUGCAAGCGUUAAUCGGAAUUACUGGGCGUAAAGCGCACGCAGGCGGUCUGUCAAGUCGGAUGUGAAAUCCCCGGGCUCAACCUGGGAACUGCAUUCGAAACUGGCAGGCUUGAGUCUUGUAGAGGGGGGUAGAAUUCCAGGUGUAGCGGUGAAAUGCGUAGAGAUCUGGAGGAAUACCGGUGGCGAAGGCGGCCCCCUGGACAAAGACUGACGCUCAGGUGCGAAAGCGUGGGGAGCAAACAGGAUUAGAUACCCU